AUGUGGAGGAAUACCAAUGGCGAAGGCAGCCCCCUGGGAUAACACUGACGCUCAUGCACGAAAGCGUGGGGAGCAAACAGGAUUAGAUACCCUGGUAGUCCACGCUGUAAACGAUGAUUACUCGUUGUUGGGCAGUGAUGCUCAGUGGCUAAGCGAAAGCGAUAAGUAAUCCACCUGGGGAGUACGAUCGCAAGGUUGAAACUCAAAGGAAUUGACGGGGGCCCGCACAAGCGGAGGAGCAUGUGGUUUAAUUCGAUGAUACGCGAGGAACCUUACCCGGGCUUGAACGUAAGACGAAUAUAUAAGAGAUUAUAUAGCCUUCGGGCGUCUUGCGAGGUGCUGCAUGGUUGUCGUCAGCUCGUGCCGUGAGGUGUUAGGUUAAGUCCUGCAACGAGCGCAACCCUUACACUUAGUUGCCAGCACGUUAUGGUGGGGACUCUGAGUGAACUGCCUACGCAAGUAGUGAGGAAGGUGGGGAUGACGUCAAAUCAGCACGGCCCUUAUGUCCGGGGCUACACACGUGCUACAAUGGUAUGUACAGAGGGCAGCCACCCGGCGACAGGGAGCUAAUCCUCAAAGCAUAUCUCAGUUCGGAUUGGAGUCUGUAACUCGACUCUAUGAAGUUGGAUUCGCUAGUAAUCGCGCAUCAGCCAUGGCGCGGUGAAUACGCUCCCGGGCCUUGUACACACCGCCCGUCAAGCCAUGGAAGCCUGUGGUACCUAAAGUCCGUGCCCGCAAGGAGCGGCCUAGGGUAAAACCGGUAACUGGGGCUAAGUCGUAACAAGGUAGCCGUACCGGAAGGUGUGGCUGGAACACCUCCUUAAGGGC
rnacentral:rRNA from 1 species